CAUCAGAACAUGGAAAGGUAAUGGAAGUGUUGUGUUGAACCCUGACUCUGCUGUUUUGUACACUGACAUGAUAUGCCUGCCGAAACUAUACAUGUGUACAUGUACACACACACCACACAUGUGUACAUGUACACACACACACACACACACACACACAGACACACACACACAGACACACACACACACACAACCUUCCUGGAACCAGAGGAACAUGGUGUGCUCACACCUCGGCACAUGCAGGGGCGAUAUAUAAGAGCAGUCCAACUCCGAAAAGGACAUAGACUCUACAGCACUCGAUACACUGAGGACCAUCUCUGGAAACAUAGACCAGGACAGACCAUCAACAGCUCUUCAAGCCUCCUGCAGUAUUUUACUCUUAGGACACCUCACCUACUCUCCAAUAUAAUGUAUCUUCUGGGACUCUGUACACUGGCACUGCUGGCCUCCACCGUCGCACAGAAUUCUUCAACAAUAGCUUCAUUUACUCCUACAAUCGCUGUUUCUGCUCCUACCAUCGCUGGUUCUGCUCCUACAACCGCUGGUCCUGUUGCUCCUACAACUGCUGGUCCUGUUGCUCCUACAACCGCUGGUCCUGUUGCUCCUACAACCACUGGUCCUGUUGCUCCUACAACCGCUGGUCCUGUUGCUCCUACAACCGCUGGUCCUGUUGCUCCUACAACCACUGCUCCUGCAAUAGCAGCAACUGUCCCACCCUCCAAACCAAGUGGCAGCCCAGCAACCGGAGCGUCUCUGUUGUGUUCUGUGGUGAUUCUUCUCCUCUACAGCCUGUGGUACUAAGUGGUGAACCUCCUCUGGCCUGGAGUUUGUAUUGUUCAGGACAAAUAGACUGAGUGGCUAUGAAUGAACCCAGAGCCAAUGAACUAAGCAAAUAUGUAUCUGGAAGAAUGGAUUUUCUGGAACACCAGUCAUUGAUGUUUCAUGUUAGAGGUUAAUCUUUGUAUAUGGACACGUUAUGAGAGAAGCAAAUUCUUCUUAAAUUUGAAUUUGGGUGGGUGGAUUGGAGGGAGGGAGGGAGGGAGGGAGGGAGGGGUUGGGGUUGUACUGUUUUUCUGUUCUCAUACCUGAAAAUCUAUAAAGAAAGUACAACAAAAAACAUUUGUUGUAAACAGUCACCAAUGGGUAAAAACCUUUGGGCAAAGAGAUAUUGGUUGUGUUUUGAACACUGACGGUUUUAGGAUCUUGCUUCCACUGCCCUUUUAGACUUAUUUUUGUCUGUUUGUUUUUUUAAGUUGAAAUGCACUGAUUAGAGGGAAUGAGUUCAUGUUGUAGACAAUAUACUUGAUUGUAAUCCAAUUUCUAUUUUAAUAAAUGCAUGUAUGGAAGUACACUUCAAACAAUAUAAUAAAAUAAUAUAAAGUGUGA